CCGUAGGUAGCUCAGCUGGCUAGAGCACUACCUUGACAUGGUAGAGGUCGCAGGUUCGAGUCCUGUCCAAUGGGCCA
rnacentral:tRNA from 1 species